rnacentral:rRNA from 1 species
CGUGCUUAACACAUGCAAGUCGAACGAGACGAUUUAGAAGCUUGCUUUUAUGAGUCGAGUGGCAAACGGGUGAGUAACGCGUAGACAACCUGCCGCAAAGAUGGGGACAACAGUCCGAAAGGACUGCUAAUACCGAAUGUUGUGUCUUUUCCGCAUGGAAGGGACAUUAAAGAUGGCCUCUACUUGUAAGCUAUCGCUUUGCGAUGGGUCUGCGUCUGAUUAGCUAGUUGGUGGGGCAACGGCCUACCAAGGCGACGAUCAGUAGCCGGUCUGAGAGGAUGAACGGCCACAUUGGAACUGAGACACGGUCCAGACUCCUACGGGAGGCAGCAGUGGGGAAUCUUCCGCAAUGGGCGAAAGCCUGACGGAGCAACGCCGCGUGAGUGAAGAAGGUCUUCGGAUCGUAAAGCUCUGUUGUCGGGGACGAAUGUUGAGGCCUAGAACAUAGGUUUCAAAUGACGGUACCUGACGAGGAAGCCACGGCUAACUACGUG